GAUGAACGCUGGCGGCGUGCCUAAUACAUGCAAGUCGAACGAAACUUCUUUAUCACCGAGUGCUUGCACUCACCGAUAAAGAGUUGAGUGGCGAACGGGUGAGUAACACGUGGGCAACCUGCCCAAAAGAGGGGGAUAACACUUGGAAACAGGUGCUAAUACCGCAUAACCAUAGUUACCGCAUGGUAACUAUGUAAAAGGUGGCUAUACUACCGCUUUUGGAUGGGCCCGCGGCGCAUUAGCUAGUUGGUAGGGUAAAGGCUUACCAAGGCAAUGAUGCGUAGCCGAAUUGAGAGGUUGAUCGGCCACAUUGGGACUGAGACACGGCCCAAACUCCUACGGGAGGCAGCAGUAGGGAAUCUUCCACAAUGGGCGAAAGCCUGAUGGAGCAACGCCGCGUGGGUGAAGAAGGUCUUCGGAUCGUAAAACCCUGUUGUUAGAGAAGAAAGUGUGUGAGAGUAACUGUUCACGUUUCGACGGUAUCUAACCAGAAAGCCACUGCUAACUACGUG
rnacentral:rRNA from 1 species